GAUGAACGCUGGCGGCGUGCCUAAUACAUGCAAGUCGAGCGAAGCGGGGACGGGUGAUUAACACGUGGCUAACCUCCUAUAAGACUGGGAUAACUUCGGGAAACCGGAGCUAAACCGGUUACUUAUAGCUGUAUCCGCGCUGCAUUAGCUAGUUGGUAAGGUAACGGCUUACCAAGGCAACGAUGCAUAGCCGACCGGAGAGGUUGAUCGGCCACACUGGAACGGAGACACGGUCCAGACUCCUACGGGAGGCAGCAGUAGGGAAGCUUCCGCAAUGGGCGAAAGCCUGACGGAGCAACGCCGCGUGAGUGAUGAAGGUCUUCGGAUCGUAAAACUCUGUUAUUAGGGAAGCGGUACCUAAUCAGAAAGCCACGGCUAACUACGUGCGAGCAGCCGCGGUAAUUC
rnacentral:rRNA from 1 species